rnacentral:rRNA from 1 species
CAGUCGCCGCGGGAAAACGAAGGGUGCAAGCGUUAAUCGGAAUUACUGGGCGUAAAGCGCGCGUAGGUGGUUUGGUAAGAUGGAUGUGAAAUCCCCGGGCUCAACCUGGGAACUGCAUCCAUAACUGCCUGACUAGAGUACGGUAGAGGGUGGUGGAAUUUCCUGUGUAGCGGUGAAAUGCGUAGAUAUAGGAAGGAACACCAGUGGCGAAGGCGACCACCUGGACUGAUACUGACACUGAGGUGCGAAAGCGUGGGGAGCAAACAGGAUUAGAUACCCCUGUAGUCCCUGUCUCUUAUAC